UCAUACUGACAGAGGAGUAUGGAUUAACUCCUUCUCAGCAGCCAGGGAGCCCAGCAUCCCAGAGAGCAUAUUUAACCCAAAAGCCAACUGACUGCCGGGGCAGAUUUGUGGUCAUGAACAUGUGCUUUGUGUCCUCUGACCAUUAGACAGAUUGUGGGUCACAACGUUGAGUAUACAGUGGGAGCUUAAUAAGUGCUUAUUCUCUGGGCAGGGAGUUCUUCAUUUCAGGGGUGACCACUUACGUCUUCUACUCUGGGCCCUCCUUGACCAGGCUAAUUACCAUUCUUGGGAUUAACUCUAUCUCCUUUUCCCGCAACCUGCAGGAGAUGCCAAGGAACUUGCCAACAUCCUGAAAUACCACAUUGGUGAUGAAAUCCUGGUUAGUGGAGGCAUUGGGGCCCUGGUGCGGCUAAAGUCUCUCCAAGGUGACAAGCUGGAAGUCAGCUUGAAAAACAAUGUGGUGAGUGUCAACAAGGAGCCUGUUGCCGAGCCUGACAUCAUGGCCACAAAUGGCGUGGUCCAUGUCAUCACCAAUGUUCUGCAGCCUCCAGCCAACAGACCUCAGGAAAGAGGGGAUGAACUUGCAGA
rnacentral:sRNA from 1 species